ACACUUAGAUGGCUCCAUGGUGAUAAAGGGAAGGUGCUGUCUAUGGUAUGGAUACACCGGACAAAGGGACAACUCUUGCCUGGACAUGAAAGAGCAGGACAAAAAUUCAUCACACUGUUAUUGGAUUAUAAUUAAACAUUUAGGCAUUGUUUUUUUCUAGAAUUUCUCUAAUAUUUUGGGGGGGCUGCAAUUAAGGACAGGAAACUAAAACUGUAGGAAGUGAUAUUUCAGAGAAGAGUGGGCGGGGACAACAGAUAUAUCUACAAUGCAGCCCUGGCACCCGAAGCUCCAGAACCACUGUGAAAGAAGGGGUAGAAAGAUGGUAACACAGCUAGGAAGUCUCACCAACAGAGCUGCCUAAACAUGAGAUGGACAAGGACAACGCUAGGCCUGCUGACGUGGGCUGGGGAGCGAGGCGGAUGAGCAAAGCGAGCUCCGGUUUGCAGAGUGGACAAUGGGAAAGCAAGAGUCUCUGAAGCGCCCUGCAGGGACAGGAGGGAGGUUGUAAAGUCAGUUUACUGGAGCAGGGCCGACAUCUGAAAGAGAAUGAGGAGCAGACUUUUAAUGCCCACUGCACACAGCGGAGGCAAGGGCUUCUGUGUGUAACAUUGCCUUCCACUCUCUGCGUGUACACACGGUUCCAGAUGCUUCCGUGGAGUGUGCUGCAGGGUGAUUUCAUCACGGGCUGACAUCACGGAGUAUGCUCAGUGAGUAAACAUCUGUGGUGUCACCACGUGAUGUGAUCUCAUGGACCCCCGUCCUGUACACAGUCUCUAGCUGACCAAGCCCUCCACUCGCACACGAGUGUGGAUGUGUUACCAGCUGCAACAGAAGUCUGUUUCUCUUCCUGGUGAUGACGUGACGAACUCACACAGCUGUUAGUGGGAGUCUCCUCGAAACACACUCAAGACAAUAGAACUUCCACAAGCUCCUGAAGCCCUUUCAGGGGUAUAUACCCAAAGAAGACACAAACAGAACACCAGCGAAAUCCAUGUUUCUGUAGCUACUGCUCCCUGAACACAACAGCUGAGACAGGAUCAACGCUAUGGUUGCCAGCAGCAAAGACGUGGUGACUGUGUUUCUAGACAACCGCCUCUUGCUCCAUCUCUGCUGCUUCCCUGAAGCUCCAUGCUUAGUCUCCGUAUUUGGCUUUUGUGCCCAGUGCUGAACCCAUGGAGAUGAUGCUUCAAGCUUUUACCACCCAGACUGAAUCCCAACAAGAAAUGGGAAGGAGAGGGCAGGAGGCGCCUGGAGCAUCUGCCCCACCUGCCCCUCACUGCAGCCUCCGGACCUCCCCAUCAGACUUACUGGGCUCUGGAAAUCCCAUCUCCUCCCUCCGCCCCUUUGCCAUGGGCGGGAUGGGCUGUCACUGCUGGUGGUGUCUGACCUUCCCCAUCUAUGACGGACAGAUCUGCUUAGAGCUGCUUACACUGAAAACCUCCCUCCAUCCCCGUACUCCGGCACCUCUCACGGGGCAAGUGAAGAUGUCAGUGCGACCCAGAGCAACAGGGGCUGCAAACUGAACACGACGGGCAUCGUUAUCCUUCCAGCCGCCCACCAGUGUCUCCUGCUCAUCCUGAAAGACAGGACUGAGGUUGGCAAGAACAGUGAGGGCCCAGUUUCUAGAGUCUUGUGUGCCCAGAGACCUCCUCAACCUCCUUCCAUGAAGAUACCCACAAGACUUGGAUGGAGACUACAGAUGGCCACCUUCGGUAAGCCAGGCCUCAGGGUUUCCUAUGUGGAUAGGCAUUGAAUGAAAGACUUGACUUAAGACUCAGUCCUGAAAAGAUUUGCGAUUCAGAAAUUGAACUUCCAAUUAACUGAAUUUCUUUCUAGUUAGAACGUCUGAUUCUAACUUGAGAUGAUCCUUUGGCCAAUAGGCCAGCAUGCGCAGGAGGCUAAAACACCAAGCCCUGCUGCCUGUACUUCCUAGCUGGGCCCAAGCCAGCCUGCUGACACCCAGGUCCUGAAGGCCAGGUGAGCCUGAGCGUUGGGAUUAGCAGAUCUUACAAUAAGAGAGCCAGCUACUCUGGUGUGGGCUCACGUUUAUUCUGGCGGAAGCUGGCUGGAACAGGAAGAGUACGCUCUCUGUAUGACAGGGUAAGGAGGGCGCAGAAGGGAGCCCAGAGGUGAGUGCUCAGAGUGGGGCCAUCAAGGCUCUGGGAAUCUAACAGGACUUGAAGCUCUUCUGACUCAACGCUCUGAACUUCACGCUAUAUCAGUCACGGCCUGAGCUGGGCCUAGAGCAGUGAUUCUCACCCUUCCUACGCGGCCAUCCUUUACUACAGUUCUCGUGUUGGGGUGACCCCAUCAUAAAAUUAAUUUCACUGCUACUUCAUAACUAUAAUUUUGCUAUGAUUAUGAAUUGUAAUGUAAACAUAUGCUAUAUAGGCUAUCUGAUAUGCGGCCUCUACGAGAAGGUUGUUCUACUCCCGGGGUUGUGACCCACGGGUUGAGAACCACUCACUAGUCUAGGGGCACAGCCUGUCAACCCAGCUAUUUGGGAGCUUGAGGGAGGAUUUAAGGUUCAAAGUUGCCUGAGAGUUCAAGUCUCGAGUGGACAACUUACUGAGAUAAAAUUUUAGAAGGACUGGGCAUAUAGUUCAACAGUAGAGCGUCUACCCAGUACGUGCCAGGUCCCACUCCAGUUCCCAGGGCUACAAACAUGACAUUUAACUUAAAAACAUAGUCUUUCCUUAGAGCGGCCGUGAAUGUAAAAAUAACGAAGUCAGGCGGAUCUUCACAGCACCUGACGUGUGCUGUCUGCACUCCUAAGACCCGCCCCAAUUUCUAGCACACAUCCAAGGCCACGAAAGAGAACCGGGGUGUGUGAGGAAAUGGUGAACAGAUGGGUGCUUACAGGAGGCAUCAGCCAACCUGAUUGCUCCUGUUCUCACAAGGUCCAAACCCAGAAAACUUGUGAUGAUGACCUAAAACUCACACAGAGUGGGAGCGGAGUGGGUCUGUGCUCUACAGAGGAGCAGAAUUCAAGAUUUAACUUGGAGCCAGGCACUGUGGUUCAUGCCUGUAAUCCCAGCUAGGGAAGCAGAGACAAGAGGAUCAGAAACUGAAGUCCAAUCAUCGAGGGGGAGUCACCCCAAGAGACCACUCUCACACCGCAGUUGAUGCAAAAGCAUGAGGAUUUAAUUCUGUUGCGACAGGGUCUUUCAGCAUUUGAGAAGCCAAAAGGCCCCAAACAACUGUUACAAGCUAUUUUUAAAGCAAAAAGCCAUAGAAACAAGGUGGAGGAACUUGGGGGUUGUUUUUUAACUAUUGGGAAUUGGCUUAUUCAAAGGGCUAUUACCAAUAAUUGGCUGGAGAGCGGCUGCCAGAUCAGGUGAGAUAAGAGGGAACAUCUGAGGGUCACUUUGCCCCCUUCCCAGGGACUGAGUUAAAACAGCUGUGGACAUCUGUGGGUUAUCUUGUCCCAAUUCCAGGAAUGGUGCUCUAUUUGGAGAACACUCACAAGGACUCAGGGAGAUGGAAAGUCCCCAACAUUCCAGUACAUGCAGGUGCAGUUGUUAGGUUCCAGGGGAGGGGGAAAGCACUAAUUCUGACAGGCCUCAGAAAUGACCUCAGAGUUGUUAGAAAUGGCUUCAGAGUUAUCCUAGAGUUCUACAAUCCUCAGCUACAUAGUGAGUUUCAGGUCAGCCUGGGCUACGCCAAGCCCUGCCUCAGUUAGUCAAUCAAUAAUCAGAUUCUGAGGCGAGACCAUGGGGUUCCAAUUCUAGCGAUUCCAAGCCCAGAGUUCUUUGAGGACGGGACAGCCUUGUUCCAUCAAGCGUCCUUGUUCUCACCUGUAAAGGAAUAGCACUGACAGCCCCUCAUAGACAGUUACAAAUAUUACUGAGAGCACACCUGAGAAUCCAUCAGCAAAUGUCAGCUCCACAUUGGUCUACUUCCAACAGAAGUGCGCGAGUUUCUUCUGGAAGAGCUCAGUGGUUCAGAGCACUGGAUGCUCUUGCAGAGGACCUGGGUUUAGUUCCUACUCACUCGGUGGCUCACCACCCUUUUUAACUGUAGUUCCAAGGGAUCUGAUGCCCUCUUCUGGCCUCUGUGGGCUCUGGACAAACAUCUUACAUAAACAUAUAGAGAGACAAAAUAAAACACCUACACUGUCUUAGUUAGGUAUCUAUUGCUUUAAGAGACACCAUGACCAUGGUAACUCUUAUAAAGGAAACCAUUUCAUUACAGUUUCAGAGGUUCAUUCCAUUAUCGUCUGGCAGGAAGCAAGUCAGCACGCAGGCAGACGUAGUGCUGGAACUGAGUCCUUCCAUCUUGGACAGGAAGUGGUCUGUCUCACUGGACAAGGCUUGAGCAUGUACGAAACCUCAAAGCCCACCUCCA